ensembl:lncRNA
CUGUAGGCUAUGCCGUGCAGUGAUCAGAAUACUAUAGGCUAUGCCGUGCAGUGAUCAGAAUACUGUAGGCUAUGCCGUGCAGUGAUCAGAAUACUGUAGGCUGUGCCGUGCAGUGAUCAGAAUACUGUAGGCUGUGCCGUGCAGUGAUCAGAAUACUGUAGGCUAUGCCGUGCAGUGAUCAGAAUACUGUAGGCUGUGCCGUGCAGUGAUCAGAAUACUGUAGGCUGUGCCGUGCAGUGAUCAGAAUACUGUAGGCUAUGCCGUGCAGUGAUCAGAAUACUAUAGGCUAUGCCGUGCAGUGAUCAGAAUACUGUAGGCUAUGCCGUGCAGUGAUCAGAAUACUGUAGGCUGUGCCGUGCAGUGAUCAGAAUACUGUAGGCUGUGCCGUGCAGUGAUCAGAAUACUGUAGGCUAUGCCGUGCAGUGAUCAGAAUACUGUAGGCUGUGCCGUGCAGUGAUCAGAAUACUGUAGGCUGUGCCGUGCAGUGAUCAGAAUACUGUAGGCUAUGCCGUGCAGUGAUCAGAAUACUGUAGGCUAUGCCGUGCAGUCUGCAAGGUGUUAGCUCUCACUGAAUUGAUUGAUGCAUUUGUUGUGUUCCCUGGCCAUUUAAGCGUUCUUAAGAUCAAGUAUGCUUUUUAUGCGAUUGCAAGUAAUUUGCAAAAGAUUCUUGGUCUAUUUGUAUAUACAUACUGGGCCUUGGCUAUAUAGAGAACCCCUUUUAGGCGAACGCGCACAGAGUCAACUAUCAAACAUCAAAAUCAUCAUCGUUGUACCAUUUAACACCCCUUUAGGCAAUCAGAGUUUGUUAACCCUGACUUUUCUUGAUAACCCUGAGUUAAAUCUGAGUAGUGUUGAACUCCCUUCGUAGUAUACCCCUCUGGUCUCUGUUUGUCUGUCCCGCCACAACUUUUUACAAAUAUCUCCUUUGAUAGGCUCAUUUGGUACCCAAUUAUCUACCCACCUGAUUUUAAUAACUUACUUGAUUUAACCAACACAAAUUUGCGUCCACUGCUGUGCUCCUGCACUAACACCUGAAGUAAUUUUUUCUACUACCUUGACUUUCAAACUGAAAAUGUUUCUUAGUUACUCAUGCAAAAAUAUGAAAACCUGCCAAUUUACUGAUAGUAGACGUUCUCAAAUCAAGUACCUUUAAAUACAGAAACAAGAGAUAAGGUCUUGACAUGGUUAGCUGGUGCCUCAACAGUUAAAAUGAUGCCUGUAUCAAAAGGAGGUUUGUGUGAGAGUUGGAAGUUAUCAGACGAGAAAACCACAUCCUGUUUACUGAUUUCUGUGAAAUGAGGGGUAAGGCAGGACAAAGGCACACAUUUACAAAACAUUUCCUAAUCAGUCAAAAUUUUCACAGGCUCCAAAAUAAAAGCCAUGAACAGCAACGUCACAAUUAAACAGUGACCACCAACACACACAGGGAACUGGGAGAGAUCAUGAGGGAUAAGAUUCAGGUGAACUCAGUCAAAGAACAUAGAAACAGAACAAACAGAACCAAAAUACAUUGAACAUUAAGUAACAGCUGGCAUGGCACAGGCCAGCUGUUACAUUAUGUUCAAUGUAUUUAAGAACAACAUUUAUCAAUGUAAAAUUGCAAUUUAGAGUUUGGGGUCAUAUCAUCUACAGUACAUAUUAUUAUUAAAAGAUUCAGAGAAUCCGGAUAAAUCUCUGUAUGCAAGGGAUAAAAACAAAUAUACAUGGUUGUGAUCUUUGGGGCCACUGUAUUAAAAAUAGACUCAAAUCUGUAAUGGACAUCACUGCAUGGACUCAGGAACACUUCCAAAACUAUUGUCUGUGAACACAGUAUGUUGCUGCAUCCACAAAUGCAAGUUAAAAGUCUACCAUACAGAGAAGAAACCAUGCAUUAACUAGAUCCAGAACCGCUGCUACCUUCUCUGGGCCCAAGCUCAUUUAAGAUGGACUGAGGCAAAGUGGAAAACUGUCCUGUGGUCUGACAAAUUAAAAUGUGAUAUUUUUUUUGGGAAUCGUGGACGCCGCGUCCCCCGGGCUAAAAAGGAAAGGGACCAUCCUGCUUAUCAGUGUACAGGUGAAAAGCCAGCGUCGGUGACUAAUUACCUGAAAAGGUACUGUUACAAUUUGUAAAAUGAUUAGAACUUCUUAAAGAAACUUCUUAAUCUUAAAGAAAACCAAAAAUCAUCCAUGUGCAGCAAAGACAGCUUUGCAGAUUUUUGCAUUCUAGCUGUCAGUUUCUUCACACUAUCAUUGCACCUCGUAUGAUUCCUGUAGCACUUGUUAUAGAUGUGGUUGACUUGUCAGGGCACUUCUCACCCACCUUACAUUCUAGCUGAUCCCAUAAAAGCUCAAUGGUUUCAUCGCUCCUUUCCGAUAAUCUGUUGUCCAAUGUCUGUGUCAUUGCCCACUCAAACGUUUAGUUUUUCCGUUCCUAAAAUGGCUUUUUCUUUGCAAUUCUUCCCAUAGGGCCUGGUCCUCUGAGUCUUCGCUUUACUGUUGUACAUGAAACUGGUGUUGAGCAGGUAGAAUUCAAUGAAGCUGUCAGCUGAGGACAUUUGAGACAGCAACACGGACCAAACAACAGAAGAGCAGCAGCGAGUGAAAGAGAUUUCAGAACUCUGUGGCUUAUAUGCAGGCUGAACCAGUUGCAACGACUGAAGUCAGAAGUCAGCUCUCCAACCAGCCCGAAAACGAUCAUUCAGCUGCAACCGGCGAUCAGGAAGCCAAUUACUAUUAAGAAGCCUGCAACCACCAGACAGAGAAACAAGGCACAAACACACAUACGAACACAGAGCAACAGGAAGCACUGGGGACGUAACGACCGAAUAUGGACCUUAAGACAUGCCAGUCUACUGCAUGCUGUGGCAACUUGAAAACAAACACAAUGUUAAGGUUCAUUUAACAAACCAAACAGCUUUCAGCUGUGUUUGAUAUCAUGGGAAGUGAUUUUCUAGUACCAAAUUAUCCAUUAAGCAUAAUUACUUACGAUAAGGUGUUAGAGUGAUGACUGCAGGAAAUGGGGCCUGACUAGAUUUGUGAUGGUGUCAUAUAGUGAUGGUGCUGUUUUUUUACAUCAAUAAUGUCCUGAUUAUACUUUGUGAUCAACUGAAUGCGACUUUGGUGAAUAAAAGUAUACAGUUCCUUCCUAAAUAGGAAAACCUGUACAUUAUUCCAAACGUUUGGCCACCAGCGUGUACAUACAUUGAUCAGCCAUAACAUUAUGACCAAUGACAGGUGAAGUGAAUAACACUGAUAAUCUCAUUAUCAUGGCACCUGUCAGUGGGUGGGAUAUAUUAGGCAGCAACUGAACAUUCUGUCUUCAAAGUUGAUGUGUUAGAAGCAGGAAAAAUGGUCAAGCGUAAGGAUCUGAGCGACUUUGACAAGGGCCAAAUUGUGAUGGCUAGAUGACUGGGUCAGAGCAUCUCCAAAACGGCAG